ACUUCUUAAAUGAUGUGUUCACACUUGACUGCUCUGGAAAGUGGGGCUUUGGGGGCAUUCUCCAUUCAGAAAAAAUGUGGCACCAUGGCAUAUUUACUACCCCCUGCACAGCAAACAUAAAAUACCUUGUCAAAAUUACCAGAGAUGGAGCAAUAAAUGAUAAUCAGCUGAGAAUGUCAUGAAAAGAUGAGGGCAGGAAAAAACAAGUAAGAAAGGUCAUACAGCAUCCCACUUCUUUUCUUCAGAUACUGACAGUUAAUAUUUUAGGAGCUCCUUACCUGCUCUCACACACAAACAAGGAAUCUGAAAUGAAAAAUUACUUAAGUUUGCUGUAAGCCCCUUAAAGGGGGAAAGACUUUCUCUUGUCUCUCCACUUUUUCAGUACCUCUCAAAAGCACUGUCUUACCUACACACUUUUGUUGUGGGUAUGAAGUGGAGGAAAACUCCACAACCUGUGACAUCACGUGUGACCACUGCCAACACCCAGUGUGAUUCCUGUAGCCAUGUACCACAGUCACUUCACAGUAAACUUUUCACUCUUCUGAGGUUUAAAAGUCUAAAGCUUACUUAAACAUCUCUCACUGGAGGGGCAUGCAAGCAAAUGAGUGCCUCCUUAGUCUUCAAGGGGAGAUAGCCCUGCUGGCCUGACCUACACAUCACAGUAGGAAUGCAGAGUUGCUGCAGCUUUGAAAAGACACAGUACUUUACCUAAACACAUAUAUAGAAAAUUAAAAAGGAGAAAGUUCAACAGUCUAGAAAAAACCCAAACACUUAUUUGCAACAACAGCACCCACUGUGAUCUGCCCUCUGCCUACAAGGAGAUCAGUAAGAAGCACAGAAGCUUAUCAACAUAAAUUGAUUAUGACCAAUCUAUUGCAAACCAAGAUUAAUACCACAAAAUGUCAAACAUCCCCAAACUUAAAAAAGGCAGCAACUUCUGAGGCUAAACUUCACCAGAGCUUUGCACUUUCCUUGAAGAACUGCUGAACACAGGCAGGCAGGCCACUUCUGGUCUAAAAACACAGCUUAAGCUCAUUUCAUAAAAACCUUCAAGAAAUCUAUAUUCGUGCUUUCCUACGACUUCCAGAAGGAUGUGGGAAAGGCAAACACAAGGAAGAUGUCUACUGGUCACAGCUUAAGUCUCUGACAUACAUCUAUCACCAACACAGAAUUAUGCCAUCCAGCAGGACUUAACACAAACAAGGAUAAGAACUGUGAUGCUUAAUCAAAUGAGCAACAACAUUUCAGGAAAUGCUAAGGCAUCUUUAACUACAAAAGAAACGCAAGCAUGCAUUCCCUGACUCAGAGAUUUUCUAGCAUUUAGAGGCAAUUACUUAAAUUUUUCUAGCAGCGUGUUACUGAUAAACUUGUGUCAAGGCACUGGCUUAUCUUCCAAGUCAUUAUAAAUUUCCUCUAAUGCUCCCUGCUAUAAAGCUAAGCUUCGCUGAAUUGAUGGCAAUGUGCAAAGAACUGUAGAAAUAAUUGCAGCAUAAUAUCCUACAAAUUCAGUAUUAAAACUUAGCUCAUUCUUUAAGUAAACAAUUGAAGAAUUAAUAAUAAUUAAUUUCUCUCUCAGAAAGCGAAAUGCGAUACAACAACAUGAAUUCCCCUGAAAUUCAGGACCCCCCUGAAAUUUCACUGCUUUCUGAGACACGAGAUUCAUUCAACUGUAAAUCUAAAUAGGAGAGAACAGGAAUGAGCUUGCUGACAGUAAAUGGGACGUGGAGAAGAAUGCUGAAGGAGAUUUACCAUAGUGAGGCAGAAAACUCUCAUAAAUACAGGACAUUCCCAAGAAACACAACUUGUCCUAGGACAACACAGAUGCUCAAGUUCACAAAAAAGGAAGAAAAGGGCUUAUUUUCCUUCACACUAAGACUUGCCUACAUCUUUUGCCAAGACAAAAGGACAUUGCAGCAGCUGUAAAUAUAGUGUGAACACACCUUGUGCGCACACAAUGUCCAUUAUGAAGCUCUCUAUAUAUUGCUAAUGCUCAUUACGUCAGCUUGCCAGACGAAGAAGAUGCAGUUGUGGCACUCUAUGCUGCUUGAAGCAGUAGAUGAGAAGACACACAGUGGCUCCCUGGCUGCUGGACCCCACCCUCCAAGUGCUCUGCCCCAUCUGCAUGUAAGCUACGCCUUCAAGUCAGAAUAAUGAAGAGGUUCACCACUUGCCAACUGUGUGGCAGACCCUGAGACAACAAUCACUGACAUGAGGCCUCUCAUCAUUUCUGUCGCUUAAGAGGAGCUUCCUCUUGGCCAGCCUUGAGUACCAUAGAUGCUCCAUGGGGGGACAUCUGCCAGAGGCCUUCUUUGCUCCAUCACUGCUGAGAGACAAACAGCAGCUGCUGCCUCUUAGAGACUGAAGAACUUGGAAUUAUGAUUACCUAUGUUAACUUUUGUGUCUGAAACGUCUCUUUCCUGAGUUUUUUCCCAGAAUGUUUUCCCUUCCUUUUACUGAUCACUUAGUUUUCUUCAAGCUUUCUCUUCAGUGCCAGCUGUUCCUCUUCCUCCUCUGGCUUCUUCUAGCCACCACCUACUAGCACCUUGAUGAAAAAGGUCGUGCUAAAUGCAUCAAGCAACAUUCCUUCCACGUAGCAUCUUGUAAUAGCAACAAGUGGUUUGAGCCCAUUCACCCUGCCUCUGCCCAAGUUCACUUCCACUGAAGUUCUGCGUAUGGAUCCCUGUGGAACAUAACGCUGAAACACAGCUCAACUGCCCAGCAGUCCUCCUGCCUGGCUUUUUCCUGGCAUUUACAGAUCAGUCUCUCACUCUAGUCAAACAACACCAUUGAGGCAUUUGUUUUUAAUUCCCUCCUCCUAUUAUAAUAAUAGCAACAAUAAAAUCAACCCAUAAUGA